rnacentral:rRNA from 1 species
AACGAACGCUGGCGGCAGGCCUAACACAUGCAAGUCGAGCGCCCCGCAAGGGGAGCGGCGGACGGGUGAGUAACGCGUGGGAACGUGCCUCUUGCUACGGAAUAGCCUCGGGAAACUGGGAGUAAUACCGUAUGUGCCCUACGGGGGAAAGAUUUAUCGGCAAGAGAUCGGCCCGCGUUGGAUUAGGUAGUUGGUGGGGUAAUGGCCUACCAAGCCGACGAUCCAUAGCUGGUUUGAGAGGAUGAUCAGCCACACUGGGACUGAGACACGGCCCAGACUCCUACGGGAGGCAGCAGUGGGGAAUCUUAGACAAUGGGCGCAAGCCUGAUCUAGCCAUGCCGCGUGAGCGAUGAAGGCCUUAGGGUUGUAAAGCUCUUUCAGUGGGGAAGAUAAUGACUGUACCCACAGAAGAAGCCCCGGCUAAACUCCGUG